rnacentral:rRNA from 1 species
AACGAACGCUGGCGGCAUGCCUAACACAUGCAAGUCGAACGAGAUCUUCGGAUCUAGUGGCGCACGGGUGCGUAACGCGUGGGAAUCUGCCCUUGGGUUCGGAAUAACAGUGAGAAAUUACUGCUAAUACCGGAUGAUGUCUUCGGACCAAAGAUUUAUCGCCCAGGGAUGAGCCCGCGUAGGAUUAGGUAGUUGGUGGGGUAAUGGCCUACCAAGCCGACGAUCCUUAGCUGGUCUGAGAGGAUGAUCAGCCACACUGGGACUGAGACACGGCCCAGACUCCUACGGGAGGCAGCAGUGGGGAAUAUUGGACAAUGGGCGAAAGCCUGAUCCAGCAAUGCCGCGUGAGUGAUGAAGGCCUUAGGGUUGUAAAGCUCUUUUACCAGGGAUGAUAAUGACAGUACCUGGAGAAUAAGCUCCGGCUAACUCCGUGCCAGCCGCCGCCGUAAGAC